AGCGGCGGACGGGUGAGUAACGCGUGGGUAACCUGCCUUACACAGGGGGAUAACAGUUAGAAAUGACUGCUAAUACCGCAUAGGACCACAGUACUGCAUGGUACAGUGGUAAAAACUGAGGUGGUGUAAGAUGGACCCGCGUCUGAUUAGGUAGUUGGUGGGGUAAUGGCCCACCAAGCCGACGAUCAGUAGCCGGCCUGAGAGGGUGGACGGCCACAUUGGGACUGAGACACGGCCCAGACUCCUACGGGAGGCAGCAG
rnacentral:rRNA from 1 species